UACAGAGGUCUCAAGCGUUGUUCGGAAUUACUGGGCGUAAAGAGUGUGUAGGCGGUGCUCUAAGUCUGUUGUGAAAUCUCCCGGCUUAACUGGGAGGGUGCGGCGGAGACUGGAGUGCUAGAGUGUGGGAGAGGUAAGCGGAAUUCCUGGUGUAGCGGUGAAAUGCGUAGAUAUCAGGAGGAACACCUGUGGUGUAGACAGCUUACUGGACCACGACUGACGCUGAGACACGAAAGCGUGGGUAGCAAACAGG
rnacentral:rRNA from 1 species